rnacentral:lncRNA from 1 species
GCUAAUUUUACUGCCUUGAAAUUCCAGUGAUGAUGUCACUCAUCUUACAAGGUGGUUAUGUAAAUUAUCUGAUAUGAUCUAUUUACUCAAUGAUUCAGCAAAUAUUAUUUGUGCUCCAACUACAUGGCAAUCCCCAUGCUAGGCACUGGAAACACAGAAGUUAAUAAAACAGACAAGGACCCUGCCACGUGAAGCUUGCAUUUUAUUGGAAGAAGAAAAAUAUUAAACAAAUAAAUACAAUAAAGACGUAUAUAAUAGCAUAGUAUCAGAUAAUGAUAGUUGAUUUUAAGAAAAUGAAACAGGAUAACAGAAUGGACAGUGAGGGCAGGUAUUUGAUUAGGAUGGUUGAAGAAGACCUCUCUGAGAAGAUAACAUUUGAAUAGAGGUGUGGAUGAUAGAAAGAAGCUGGCCAGGAAAAAGGGAUGGAAGAACAGCUUUCUGGACAGAGAGACCAGCUAGUGACGAGGCUUAAUAGAAAGAGUUUGACAUGGAGCAGGACGGGCAAGGAAAUUAACGGCAGUGAAGGUCUCAUCACGAAAGUCUACAAUUUCACUCCUGAAGUCAUGGAGACCACGAACCUACAGGGAGGAACGAACAACUCCAGACAGGCCGCCUUAAGAGCUAUAAUUCUCACCGCGAAGGUCUGCAGCUUCACUCCUGAGACAGUGAGACCACAAACCCACUGGGAGGAACCAACAACUCCAGACGGGCCACCUUAAAAGCUGUAACACUCACUGCGAAGGUCCGCAGCUUCACUCCUGAGCCAGUGAGACAACGAACCCACCGGGAGGAACGAACAACUCCAGACGGGCCACCUUAAAAGCUGUAACACUCACCGCCAAGGUCCGCAGCUUCACUCCUGAGCCAGCGAGACCACGAACCAACCAGAAGGAAGAAACUCCGAACACAUCCAAACAUCAGAAGGAACAAACUCCAGACACGCCGCCUUUAAGAAUUGUAACACUUACUGCGAGGGUCCGCGGCUUCAUUCUUGAAGUCAGUGAGAUCAAGUACCCACCAAUUCCGGACACAAUAGUACGUUUUUUUAAAAGUUUAUAUACAAAGAAAUAAAAUUAUUUGUAAAAAAAUAAAAACUUAGAUAUUGAAGUUAUUGUGAAAGAUGACACGUUACUUGUUAUUGUGUAUUUUUACACUAAAAUUGAAUUUAAUUUUUAUUUCUAAUUUCGAUAUUACUGCAGAUCUAGCGCUUAUUUACUACAGAAAACAGACAUUUGAAUUCAAACGUGCUUUCUGAAUUUAAGUAUUUUUACACUAAAAUUGAAUUAAAUUUUUAUUUCUAAUUCCGAUAUUACUACAGAUCUAGCGCUUAUUUACUACAGAAAACAGACAUUUGAAUUCAAACGUGCUUUCUGAAUUUAAGUGUGUUUAUGAGCAGCACAUUUAGAGUCUCAUUGGCAUAUUUAAAAGUAUAGAUUCUUUCCAUCUAGAAUUUAAAAUAAUUCAAUAUUUUUCUAUGUCCCGAAAAUUCCAAACUUUACUCCUUAAAACCCUUGAAAUCCAAAAAAUUACAAGUUGCUGAAAAAGGGGUGUCUUAAAAUAUUAUAGUGUUGCCUAAUUCUUAUUUUUAUCUCUUUUAUGCUAUGGGGUAGAUUUUCUCCUAUGAAUUUGAUCCUUAAGUUAAUCAACCUACUAUAUACAUACAUAUGCACACACAUAUAUACUUACAAUGUAGACAUAUUGUAUGUAUCACCUAGCUGUAAUUAUUCUAUUUCAAUAAUAUUUUUUAGGAAGCAGAACAAAAAGUUAAUCAUUACUCCCAGGUAUUACUUGUUUCUGCAUGCCACUGUUUUCUAAUCUUUGAGAGUGCCUCAAAUUUAAGUAUAUCAUUCUGUCCAGUUUCUGUUUGCAAUAUUAACAAGAAUUCUUUCUCUUUCUACUUAAUGUAUAUAUUUUAAAAAAAAAAAUCCAUGCAGAUUUUGGUUAAAAUGCCAUUUUAGCAAUGGAAGUCCUUCCUUUAUUUUACUCAUAUCGUUCUAAAAAGGUUAGCAAAGUAAUUACUUAAAAGAACUUGCAAACUUUAAGCUUUCUUAAAACUUAAAGCAAACUUUAAUUUUGAGUUCACGGAUUAUAUUGUGAACCACUUAUUUAAAUAAAAGUGUUUAUAUUUUUCCUAAUAGAGUAUCGCUUCUGACACUGAAAAUGUUAAUAAUUGGUACACAGCUUUUAAAGCUUAUUUGAAACAAAACACACUGAUAUAGUUUGCAUGUGUGUGCCUGCCCACAUCUUAUGUCAAAAUGUAAUCCCUGAUGUUGGAGGUGUGGCCUGGUGGGAGGUGAUUGGCUCAUGGAGGUGGUUUCUCAUGAAUGGUUUAGCACCAUCCUCUUGGGUGCCCUCCUCUCAAUAGUGAGUUCUCGAGAGACUUGUUAUUUAAAAGUGUGUGGCACUUCCCCUCUCUCUCUCUUGCUCCUGCUCUGGCCAUGUGAUGUGACUGUUGCCCCUUCGCCUUCCACCAUGAUUGUGUCUUGAGGCAUCCCCAGAAGCUAAGCUGAUGCCAGCAUCGUGUUUUCUGUGCAGCCUGUAGAACGAUGAGCCAAUUAAACCUCUUUUCUUCAUAAAUUACCCAGUCUCAGGUAUUUCUUUACAGCAAUUUGAUAAUAGACUAAUAGAUGCACAAAUGUGUGUAUGAACCAUAGGCAAACACAAGAUUUCCAUGAAGUAAAUAUUUUCAAAUGAACAAUUAUGCCUAGCGUUUUUUAUUUGCACCCAUAUAUUUUAUGUCGUAUAGAAAGUAUGAAAGAUAACACAGAGAUGAAACUGCAAUCACACAGUUAAAAACAUGUAAUUCUAGUCUGAAAAAUUUUCCUCUUGGUCACAGUAUAUUCAAAAAUAAUACCAAAAAGAUUAAAACUAUUUUCAAGAUGGCCCAUUUCCAAGGGAUUUUUUUUUUGAGAAUUUUGGGGUUCUUGUCAAUUGAUCUGAAAUAAUUCUAAAGGCCCUCUAUAUUCCUAUUUCUCCUUUCCCUGUUCCAACAGGGUGCUAUGUACAUAAUUAUGCAGUAUUGCAAUUACCCAUUCUAAUAUCGAUUUGAUGUACUAUAUUGAAAACUUCAUAAGCCUAGAAAUAUAUUUUAAUUGUGCUUUUACUCAGUGGUGUAUUUAUAAUAAAUGGGUUGCUAUAGUAACAUUAUUUGAUAGCUGGAGCAGAUAAUUUUUUAACAACCUCCCAUUUGACCAAAUUAUUUUCAGUAAUAGUGUAACAAAUAUAUUUUAUCUGUAAACUAAAAUUUGUGCUUACCAACCAAAAAUACUACACCUCAAAGUUUGCACUCUACUUUAAGAACAAAUACAAAUUCCAAGUGGCCCCAUAGGAUAAGAAGAUUGUGGCAACUCAAGUUCCGUUUUUCAUCUAUAUAAUAUGCUACCUUUGUUUGCUUAGAAACAGCUGUUUAAAUGAAGGAAUAUUUAUAUAUUAUAAAAGCUGGACAGUAGUUGCAACACUGGUUUCAAAUAUUUAUACUAACAAGAUAUUGGGGUAGGUAGAGUACUUUAUGACUAAUUUUGCUUACAAUUGCCAGUAUAUAGCGAUAAUAAAAAAGAAGACUGACUUUUGGUUGCGUUUAUGAUUGUCUUCAAAUUCUCUAUGAACAACACACCCCCUAAUUGCCUGCACCUGGGACAGACCAUUCCUUACACCCUGACCUUGGCACACCUUGUAUUGCUUUUAUUCCCAGUGUCUAGACUGUGUCUUCUAUAUCAUAUAGGCUAAAAAAUUUUUUUAUGAAUGGGUUAUUAAGAAGUACGCUUAUGCUUGUUAUUUUAUUUUUUCAUAGACUUUUGGGAAAUACUAUUCGGCACAAGAAUAACUAGAAUAUGGCUCUGGUUCUUGAUAUGAUUGUUCUCUGUUACAACUAAAAGCCACAAAACCACGCGCUUUACUUCUCAUAGUUUAAGAAUCAAAAGGGCAUCUAACACCAAGUGAGAAUCACUUCUUACUGUAGUUUGUACAGCAGGCUUGGGCAUCCCCCCAAAUAUAUUUCAAAAUGAAAACAAAUAUGAUACUUAUAUUAUACCAUUAGUAGACUAUCCAAAAUGCUGUGCACAUGGAAUACAUGUGAAUUCCCUUCUGCUUGAUUUAUGAUGCCGGCCACUUGGAAGAGCAAAGAGAGAUAAAGGAGAAGCCCAGGCAAGCAUGCUGGCUAAUGAGAGAUCAAGACCCUGUCAUCCCAGACACUUCUGCUGCCGUGAUCAACAGCCUGCUAACUGCCAGUAUACGAGCUACCACCUGACUCCCCAGCUAGACACAGUGCUAAGUCUUCAUGCCUGGAAUAAUGUCUUGUAGACAUAGAAGACAGAAGACAGUCAAUUUGAGAGUGGAUGGUGAAGGAAUAGGUGGCUGAAUCUUUGCACAUUGUUAGGAUAUCAUCUGGCUCAUUAUUUUCAGUGUCUCUGGACACUGAUAAGCACUUUCUAAGAACGCUGCUGGAAGGGUAGGAGAGGUUUGGAGGGGAUCUCCUCUCAUUACACCAUUCGCCCAUACACAGUACACACAUGUAUUAACUGAUAUCAGAAGAAAGCAGCUGAAGAUCUGCUUCCAGAUGUCUCAGUGGGGAAACACAGUCCCAAUGCAGAAUAAAAACCCCAUUGAGCAUAGGUACAGCCCAAUAAAUGGUAGUUACUUUUCCCCCCAAAGACUUUUUUUUAAAAUCAGUUGUAGGGUCACAAGAAAUGAGCAGGAAGUAUAGAGUUUCCAUAUACCCCUUCCCCUGCCAACCUCCUCCACUACCAACAUCCUCAUUAGAGAGGUACAUUUGUUACAACUGACGAACCUACAUUGACACAUCAUUACCACCCAAAGUCCAUAGUUUACAUUACAGCUCACUCUUAGGGUUGUACAUUCUAUGGGUUUGGACAAAUAUAUGACUACAUGUAUCCACCAUUGCAGUAUCACACAGGAUAGUUUCACUGCCCUAAAAAUCUCCCUUGCUCCACUUUUUUUGCCUUUCCUCCUAACCUCAGGUAACCACUGAUCCUUUUACUAUCUCCACAGUUUUGCCUUUCCCAGAAUGUCAUAUAGUUGGAAUCAUACAGUAUGUAGACAUUUUCAGAUUGGCUUCUUUCAUUUAGCAAUAAUGCAUUGAAGUUUCUUCCUUGUCUUUUCAUGGCUUUAUAAAGUUAUAGAGUUAUAACUCAUUUAUUUUUAGUACUGAAUAACAGCUCCUUGUUUUGAUGUACCACAGUUUAUGUAUCCAUUCCUCUUCUGAAGGACAUCUUGCUUGCUUCCAGCAAUUAUAAAUAAACAUCCAUAUGCAGGUUUUUAUGUGUAUAGUUGCCUUUUUAAAUUUGUUUUUGAAUUAUUUGCUUAAACUCAGAGGCAAAAACAUAUAAUCCCUCACAUUUUGGAGUUAGACAACUUCUGCCCAGUGCUGCCAAUUAUUGGUCAUAUAAUCUCAAGCAAUUUAUUUUUUCUUUCUUGACUUUGCAUGAUCAAGCAUCUGCAUAAGGAAGAAACUAGAACCAUGGUUAAGAAGGUUUUUCUGAAAUUAGAAGAAGUAAUGCUUAAAAAGUAAUGACAGGUGUCAUGUAUGAUCACUGGCUAGAACAGUUAUAAGAAGUUAUCAUGAAUGAUAAAAAUUACCACUGAAAAUAGUUAUCGGUAAUGCUAACAUUAGCAUUGUUAUUAAUUACUAAUAUUAAAAUUAUUAUUUUAAUGCUAAUAGUUGUUACAAGUGAUAAUAGCUAUUAAUUGUUAUAGUUAACAUUAAUGAUAAUAUUUGUAAGUCCUUAAGAUGUACUAGUCAACAUUCUCAGUGCUGUCCAUGUAGUAACUCUUCACUCUUACUGUAAGUGGUUGGUUCUAUGUAUUAUACAGGUGAGGAAAUUAAGACCCAAAGAGUCUAAGUAACUUCUCUAAAGUUCUAAAACUAGUAAUUUGCCAGAGCUGGAAUUUGAAUCUGCCUCUAAAAUCUGUGCUUUUAGUAGAGAAUAUAAUUCAUAAUAAAUAUUAAAUUAGUUU